GGUGAAAGCUCGUGGCACAGUGGCUCAGUGGUUAGCACGGCAGCCUCACAGUGUGAAACCUUGCGUACCUCCCAGGCCACAGGCUUCCUUCAUUCAUCAGGAUUCCCAAAUGGUCUGUUGCAGCAUGUGGAAGCAAGAGGAACCAGGUGGAUACAAGAUGCUGGUUGACCCACUGAGUUUCUCCUCCAAUUUCUGUUGUGCAUCAGAUUUCUAAUUUCCAGUACGUGGCUACUCUUUAGAUAAAACUAACAGUUGGUCAAAACAAAAACUGAAAUUAUACUGGGGAUUAGAUGCUUUCAAGCAGCAACAGAAAUCCUGGGGAUAACACUGGCGAGCUGGAAGAACACAGCAGGUCAGGCAGCAUCAGAGGAGCAGGAAAGCUGACGUUUCAGGUUGGGACCCUUCUUCUGAAGACUCCAACAUCUGCAGUUCUUACUAUAUCUGAGAAAUCCUGGGGAACUCAGAUCAGCAGAAGAGACUGAAUCACCAGGAUACGAGCAAUCAUUGUGGCAGUAUGAGUUGGAGUGGCAUUUGAAGAAGUUAGUGAAGAUUUGAUUACCAUCAUGAAGGACAUAAUGAGAUUUAGUGAUCCGCAGUGUUACUAAUGUCUGGGUGGGUUGCUGAGGAAUCUGUUAUUAAGUGCUAGGGAUUUCAAACUUUGUCUACUUUAAACAAAAUAUGCUACUGGUCCCUAACUAGAUCAUAACAUAAAUUUGUUGGUUUCAUCUGGGAUCGUAACAACUGGUCAUCAACAGCAGACAUUGUUCAGACGCAGAGACCAAUUGUACUCAGGUCUGGCUGCUCACGAUAUUGAAAUAUUUACAAGAUGCAU